GCGGCGCGGGCGGGGCGGAGAGGAAGAGUCGGGGGAGGCGGCGAGGCUGCGCCCUUCGCUCUUCUCCAGCGAUCCCCGCGACCGGAGCGGCCCCAGGCCGGGCCCGAGAGCGCAGAGGCGCCAGGCAGCGGAGGGAGAGAGGAGGAGGACCGGAGCCUCGCCGCGGGAGGGUGCCCAGGGCGAGGGCGUGCGAGGGGGAGUGACUCCGCGCGCGAGGCAACUAGUGUAAGAUCUGGUUCAUCACCAGAGUUCAACAACUGUUGGAGGAAUGAAAGAGCACAGCCCCCAGAGGAGGACCGUGGUACACCUUCACCAGCUUUGGCUUUAUUGAAGAGUGUCACCUUUGUUCUCCUGAUGUGCACACGCCACAUGAGAAAUAAAGCUGGCAUACACAGGAGACAAAGCCAUAAAAGCAGUGUCCGACUUCACCUCCCAUGCUGUGAGUAGUCUAGCUGUGUUUGGACCUGUGGAGGCAGUACACCAUGGCAGAGACAAACCUACUUCCUUCAUGACCAGGAAAAAGAAGAAGCAAAGAAGAGGCUGGGUUCCGCUGUGCUCUUCCAGGGUAUGCUGCAGGAGACUGGAGGACCUCCCACUAGAACCCCACCUUCGAAAAAAUGAAUAUUUGGUAACUUUAAUCUGGAUUUCAUCUACAUGUAUCUUUGGACUAAGAUGAGUUUGGGGGCUGGAGUCGGCUCAGUGGUUAAGAGCACUGACUGCUCUUUCUGAGGACUGGGGUU